UAAAUUGUUUAGAGCAGAUUUUUAUUUAAUUAUGACAAAUUCAUACCUAAUUGCUCAGAAUCAUAAGUGAGAACUACUGUGUGAACAAUAAUUUUUUAAAAU
rfam:Populus trichocarpa scaffold_15_contig_155, whole genome shotgun sequence.